AUUAUUGUUUUGCAAUUAAAUUUUAUAUACCGUAGUUAUACAUAUUAAAAUGUUUAAAAUUAUGGACAUAUCCAGGUUAUACAUAAAUAAACCUUAUAGUACUGUAGUUUACUUUAUGUUCAUUGCCUUACAGUAUAAUACUGUAUAUUUUUAUAUACAAUUAGUUAUUUUGUUUCAAAUUAAACUUGUAUGCAUAAUCAUCAGUGACGUGCUACUGUAUAUUAAGUCAUAUUCAUAAUUAUUUGCCAAUGCAGACAUAUAUACUUUCCCUUCAACUAUCAUCUUUACUCCUUUUCUUUUAAUUUCACCAACUUUGAAUGCUCUAAGACGAUUGUUUAUUCACCUGAUUGAUAUACUGUAAUUAUGUUGACUAUCAUGGUUUUAGGCCUCAUGAAUUAAUUAAUUAUUCAUUCAUAUAUUUAAUUAUUUGUAUUGUCAUUGAUAUCAUCCUCCAUGUGGUAGUAAUAUGGCAUUCCGGGUUCCCCUCCCCACACCCGGCGAAGUGAUUGACAUCAUUAUACCUGUACUGUAUAUGCCCUGCCGUCAUUGGCCAGGCCUUAACCUUACGAAACUGACCAAUGGAAACUUAUGAUCCACAUUCAAAUUCAUUGUGUGUACCAGUGGAGCUUCUACCAAUAUUUGACAAAUGUGUGUGAUUUUAAGGUACAAAAUACAACAAUAAUAGCAGGUUUACUUACUGAUAACUACAAAUCAAGGAUAAUUCAUUGAUGCAAGACUCAAUAUUCAACACAACUUGAUUGAUUGAACGUUUCAUACAGCCUCUAGCCGAAGCCGUAGCAUAGGCCUAGCUAGCUAAGCUAGGCCAAACCAGUGGCUGCUAGGCCUAGGCCUACCUACUAGGCUAGUAGGAUGGCGGUGCAGCAGCUGAUGAUGCAGAGUUCGAUAGAAAAAGAACAUGGUAGAGUAGUGGAAAGUACCUAAAUGAAGAUGG